ACGGUCCGAGUUUGUCAUAAAAGUGCGGACCGAUGGCAAAGGGGGCAGGGGGACGAUGAUGCCGAAAGGUAGCCGCACGUGAGUACAAAUGAAAUCGGAUACAGACCCGAUAGCGACAAAUUUCACACUUUCAACAGACCGUAAAACUCGUAUGGAUAGCUUUUCGUUUUGGUAUAACACAAAAG
ensembl:ncRNA F26A10.13 ncRNA